rnacentral:rRNA from 1 species
GACGAACGCUGGCGGCGUGCUUAACACAUGCAAGUCGAACGGAAAGGCCCUGCUUUUGUGGGGUGCUCGAGUGGCGAACGGGUGAGUAACACGUGAGUAACCUGCCCUUGACUUUGGGAUAACUUCAGGAAACUGGGGCUAAUACCGGAUAUGAGCUCCUGCUGCAUGUUGGGGGUUGGAAAGUUUCGGCGGUUGGGGAUGGACUCGCGGCUUAUCAGCUUGUUGGUGGGGUAGUGGCUUACCAAGGCUUUGACGGGUAGCCGGCCUGAGAGGGUGACCGGCCACAUUGGGACUGAGAUACGGCCCAGACUCCUACGGGAGGCAGCAGUGGGGAAUAUUGCACAAUGGGCGGAAGCCUGAUGCAGAAACGCCGCGUGCGGGAUGACGGCCUUCGGGUUGUAAACCGCUUUCGCCUGUGACGAAGAGUGAGUGACGGUAAUGGGUAAAGAAGCACCGGCUAACUACGUG